UAUCACAUUUGCCUAGAUAAAUAUGUAAGGCUACUUAACCCAUACUUUCAAUACGACUCGUAGCUCAGUCGUAAGGGUCGGUUCACUUCUACCAGCUUGACGCAAUUCCAAUUUAUUGAUCACACCAUAUGUUUUUGCAUAUUUGCUUGACAUUGACCUCACGAGCUUAGAUUUUACCUCAACGUUAACCUUUGAACCAGCAUGAGCUUUCAUCCCAUUAUUACUUAUACACCGUACGUACGUACAUAUGUAUGUAUAAACCUUACUAUAUUACAUAUAUUCCACCUUUGUUCAACUAACCAGUGCUUAUCAUCUCACUAAGCUACCAUCCCGUACGUGUUCUGUUUACUUAUCAGGACGAGCUUAUCAAGACUCAGGAGGGACAGCCAUCCAGCACAGCGGAGGAUCAUGCGGAACAAAUGUAAAACUUUUGUAAACUCGAUCCUAAUUUCACUGAACGAUACGUAACUAUUUUGUUUAAUAUGACAUCUUUACCCGAUUGGUCAGAUCUUUCAUGCACGCUCCACUCAACACCCACCUGACCCCCUAAUCAAUUAUGAGAGGGACACGUUGCCAGAAGAAUUGGAGAAUAUUCCACCUUGCCACGCCUUGUUGCCCAGGGAGAAUUCAUGCAAUAUUUUCUCUUUUGUGGUUAAAUUUUAAAUCAACCCAGCAACAUUUUUAGUCGUGGAUGUUGCACAUUGCUCAUUAUUUUGCACAAAUAUGGCCACGUCGUCGACACGUGAUUUCUUUUCAAUUUUAUUUUUUACGUUGUCGAUUGCAUACAUAAAAGUACGCCCAUAUUACUCCAGUUGUAACAAACGGAACAACAACUUAAUUUUGCUUGUUUGGAGAUGGGUAAAACGCAGAAGGGGUUUUAAACUAAAAAAAAACCUCUGGAGAACGAAAACAUCAGAAAGUUUAAUAUCCUGCUGGGUGAGCGACCGUGUAAUACUACGUAUCGGCACCAUUAUUAGAUCAAAAGGAUCCAAUUCAUUUAUCUGAAAGUGGUGAAGAUUUCAAUCUCAAUUCGCUCUCCCCGUUCGAGAGCGGUAACGAGAUGGACUUCUCCGAUCUUCUGGUCGCUUCUCCUAUGCCAUUCAUCAAGCGACAUGAGUUGGGCGGGUCGUUCUCAGAAUUAAUCUGGUCCCCCAUGGGGUUGCGGUUGCAAGAAAAUUCCAUCGCCUUGGCUGAUAACGACAUUUCCCUUCCCGGCAGUGAUUUCAUCAAUCCAGCCGAGUUAUCUUUCCCAGAUAAGAUAAGUACUGAUGAAUCAUCCAUACCACUACCACCAGCAGCAGAGGCAAUCUUAUCGUGUGUUCCGCCUCGAUGUACUGAAUCACCACCACUUGGUCACAACCUCAAUAAUAUUUUAUUGCCUCUACAAACCUUAUCUCAACCAGCACAACACAACGAACCGAGUUUAUGUUCAUCUAUAAAAAAGAAGAGGGGUCGACCUCCCAAAUUGAAACAACCCGCCCCACUAACUCCACCCAGGGUGAAAAAAUACGACUUGGAACCUUCCAGCAAACCAAUCAGGAACGCUAUUGCCGCUCGGAAAAACAGAAUUCGAGCGAAGGAACGAUUCGAAAAGCUCGAAGCCGACCUAGCCGGUAAGGAAGGUAUAAUAUCGCGACAAAACAAAACGAUUGAAAAGCUGCAGGCAGAAAUUUUAGAGUUAAAGGCUACACUUGACCGCAUCGAGCAGACUUUAAAUUCUUCCAGGCGACAAAAUCAGACUUCGAAUUUCGGAAGGGAAGAUGGUAAUUGAAUAUGCAUGCACUGUAAUGGUUGGGGCCUUCCAUUAAUUAUGUGACGCAAAAAUUUUCGCGAUUUUUUAGACCUCCAGUACCCUCGCAACAUGUGUAUGUAACAUAGGCACGAUAGAAUUUGAGCCUUAGACCCACCCUCUCCCCCCUCUUGCAGUGCGUAAUUUAUGGAAGGCCCCAAGGGGCGCCCACAGAUUACGUAACGCUGGCCAGCAUGGUCAAGUUUUCGUAAUUAUGUAUACAUAUAACCGGGAAAUGACUAUAUUUUGUACAGACUUCCGGCAGGAUAAUUUGCAACUCGAUUAGAUCUAGGAUAAAUUUAACACGGAUACUGUUGUCAAUCCAAUUUCACAAAUGUUUAUUAUAAAAAUUAUCCAAAAUGGCAGAUAGAUAGUUUAACUGCAUAAAUAAUAUAUGAUAAAAUCAUAUCUAGUAAGUUGAGAAGUUCUUGGCGGGAACAAUAACUAACAAUAAGUAUAAAUACACAAUAGUUUUCCGAAAUUAUGUCACUUGUACUAUACAUGGGUAGUAACUUCAAUAAUUAAAAAAUUGAGCCAGGGUUCCAAAUUUCAUGUCAAAAUUUCAAAAACUUACACCGCCAUUUAUUGUACUUGGAGGACUUUAGGUUUGGCGAUUUUAUUGCUUAAUCCACCCCCAUUAUUGGUGCUGGAUCGCGUGGCAAAAUCUUCAAACUAGAACUCCUCCAAGUACAAUAAAUGUAAUCUUUCUCUAUCAAAAUAAUGUUAUUGGAUAGUUAAUAAGUGUGUACGUUCAUUAAAUAGAUGCAAAUUACUUUAAAUCUAGUUUAAAUCUAACUUUGUUUGAAAUUGUCAUAAGUUUAAAAAACAUAGAACACAUAUAUUCAGUAAUCAUUUGAAAUUAAAAAAUUACAACGAAAAAUCCUAAUAAAACAGCUUUUAGAUAGGUUAAUUUAAUUCUAAACACUAAUAUAAAUGUCUCGGUUACUCAUAUGUAUAGUUUGAAAACUGAAGCAAUGCAGAUUUUGCUGAAUUUAUCUUUAAUUAAAAGAGUUAUUUGAGUUUUAAUAAAAAGCUGAAAAAUAUAUAUUAAAUAAAAUUAAAUCAUAGAAAAUUAAAACGAAAAAAAUCAAAAUAGAGAAGCUUUAAAACAGAUUGGUUUAGCUAAAAAAUAAAUAUAUCUUGUUUAAUUAUGGAUAUUUAUUAAAUGAAAAUUGCUUUAGAUUUAGCUUUAAGUAAAAUCUUCCUUGAUACUUAAAAAAUAUAUCAAAUACGUAUCCUAUAACCAUAAAAAAUUUAAAACAAAUAAAUCAU